rnacentral:rRNA from 1 species
GUGAGGAAUAUUGCACAAUGGGCGAAAGCCUGAUGCAGCAACGUCGCGUGAGUGAUGAAGGCCUUUGGGUCGUAAAACUCUGUCCUUGGGGAAGAAAAAAAUGACGGUACCCUUGGAGGAAGCCCCGGCUAACUACGUGCCAGCAGCCGCGGUAAUACGUAGGGGGCAAGCGUUAUCCGGAAUUAUUGGGCGUAAAGAGUGCGUAGGUGGUUUUGUAAGCGUAGGGUGAAAGGCAGUAGCUCAACUAUUGUUAGCCCUGCGAACUGUGAGACUUGAGUGCAGGAGAGGAAAGUGGAAUUCCUAGUGUAGCGGUGAAAUGCGUAGAUAUUAGGAGGAACACCAGUGGCGAAGGCGACUUUCUGGACUGUAACUGACACUGAGGCACGAAAGCGUGGGUAGCAAACAGGAUUAGAUACCCGUGUAGUCC